rnacentral:rRNA from 1 species
UACGUAGGGUCCGAGCGUUGUCCGGAAUUACUGGGCGUAAAGAGCUCGUAGGUGGUUUGUCGUGUUGUUCGUGAAAACUCACAGCUUAACUGUGGGCGUGCGGGCGAUACGGGCAGACUUGAGUACUGCAGGGGAGACUGGAAUUCCUGGUGUAGCGGUGGAAUGCGCAGAUAUCAGGAGGAACACCGGUGGCGAAGGCGGGUCUCUGGGCAGUAACUGACGCUGAGGAGCGAAAGCGUGGGGAGCGAACAGG